UNUGAAGUUAAAGGCUGUGGCUCANCAUAGUACGCUUUGGAAACUAUUUAACUUGAGUGCAGAAGGGGAGAGUGGAAUUCCAUGUGUAGCGGUGAAAUGCGUAGAUAUAUGGAGGAACACCGGUGGCGAAAGCGGCUCUCUGGUCUGUAACUGACGCUGAGGCUCGAAAGCGUGGGGAGCGAACAGGAUUGGAUACCCUGGUAGUNCACGCCGUAAACGAUGAGUGCUAGGUGUUAGGCCCUUUCCGGGGCUUAGUGCCGCAGCUAACGCAUUAAGCACUCCGCCUGGGGAGUACGACCGCAGGGUUGAAACUCAAAGGAAUUGACGGGGGCCCGCACAAGCGGUGGAGCAUGUGGUUUAAUUCGAAGCAACGCGAAGAACCUUACCAGGUCUUGACAUCCCGAUGCCCGCUCUAGAGAUAGAGUUUUACUUCGGUACAUCGGUGACAGGUGGUGCAUGGUUGUCGUCAGCUCGUGUCGUGAGAUGUUGGGUUAAGUCCCGCAACGAGCGCAACCCUUAUUGUUAGUUGCCAUCAUUCAGUUGGGCACUCUAGCGAGACUGCCGGUAAUAAACCGGAGGAAGGUGGGGAUGACGCCAAAUCAUCAUGCCCCUUAUGACCUGGGCUACACACGUGCUACAAUGGCUGGUACAACGAGUCGCAAGUCGGUGACGGCAAGCUAAUCUCUUAAAGCCAGUCUCAGUUCGGAUUGUAGGCUGCAACUCGCCUACAUGAAGUCGGAAUCGCUAGUAAUCGCGGAUCAGCACGCCGCGGUGAAUACGUUCCCGGGCCUUGUACACACUGCCCGUCACACCACGAGAGUUUGUAACACCCGAAGUCGGUGAGGUAACCUUUUAGGAGCCA
rnacentral:rRNA from 1 species